UACGUAGGGGGCAAGCGUUGUCCGGAUUUAUUGGGCGUAAAGAGCGUGUAGGCGGCCAUACAGGUCAGCUGUGAAAACUCGAGGCUCAACCUCGAGACGUCGGUUGAAACCGUUUGGCUAGAGUCCGGAAGAGGUGAGUGGAAUUCCCGGUGUAGCGGUGAAAUGCGCAGAUAUCGGGAAGAACACCCGUGGCGAAGGCGGCUCUCUGGGACGGUACUGACGCUGAGACGCGAAAGCGUGGGGAGCGAACAGG
rnacentral:rRNA from 1 species